UCGUCAGAAAGGAGUUCCUGCUGGGUGCGCACAACGCUUGCUGCAAAAUAAUCAUCCACUUUACCCAAGGAGAACAACAUAAAUAACGUCAAAGUACCUACAUCGAGUGAGAAGUACAAAACGCUCGAAAGUCAAGAUUAUCUCACAAGGAGUAGAGACCUGCGCAAAUGCCUCGGUGAAAACAAUGGCGUUGUCUGCCAGGGCGUCUAUAUUCGGAGUGUAUGCGUUACUGUCGCCGUAGCAUCCCAGAGUAGUCCUCAGAUCGUCUACGAUGAUCAGCAAGAUGUUUGGGCGCAUAGCGGUGACGUUUAUUAUACAUAUCAGCAUAAUCGUAACAAAAUUAAAUU